rnacentral:rRNA from 1 species
AUUGAACGCUGGCGGCAGGCCUAACACAUGCAAGUCGAACGAGUGGCGGACGGGUGAGUAAUGUCUGGGAACCUGCCCGAUGGAGGGGGAUAACUACUGGAAACGGUAGCUAAUACCGCAUACCAUCGGAUGUGCCCAGAUGGGAUUAGCUAGUAGGUGGGGUAACGGCUCACCUAGGCGACGAUCCCUAGCUGGUCUGAGAGGAGGAGCGUACACCUGGGAACGGAGACCCGGUCCAGACUCCUACGGGAGGCAGCAGGGGGGAAUAUUGCACAAUGGGCGCAAGCCGGAUGCAGCCAUGCCGCGUGUAUGAAGAAGGCCUUCGGGUUUAAAAGUACUUUCAGCGAGGAGGCGUUACUCGAAGAAGAAGCACCGGCUAACUCCGUGCCAGCAGCCGCGGUAAUUC